ACUGAACGCUGGCGGCAGGCUUAACACAUGCAAGUCGAGCGGGGGAAGGUAGCUUGCUACCGGACCUAGCGGCGGACGGGUGAGUAAUGCUUAGGAAUCUGCCUAUUAGUGGGGGACAACAUCUCGAAAGGGAUGCUAAUACCGCAUACGUCCUACGGGAGAAAGCAGGGGAUCUUCGGACCUUGCGCUAAUAGAUGAGCCUAAGUCGGAUUAGCUAGUUGGUGGGGUAAAGGCCUACCAAGGCGACGAUCUGUAGCGGGGCUGAGAGGAUGAUCCGCCACACGGGGACGGAGACACGGCCCAGACUCCUACGGGAGGCGGCAGUGGGGAAUAUUGGACAAUGGGGGGAACCCUGAUCCAGCCAUGCCGCGUGUGUGAAGAAGGCCUUAUGGUUGUAAAGCACUUUAAGCGAGGAGGAGGCUACUCUAGUUAAUACCUAGGGAUAGUGGACGUUACUCGCAGAAUAAGCACCGGCUAACUCUGUGCCAGCCGCCGCGGUAA
rnacentral:rRNA from 1 species